CUUCAAAACUUAAUUCCGCUCUUUGCGUUCAACUGUAACAAGUAACCGUAGAGUUUGAUCCUGGCUCAGGAUGAACGCUGGCGGCGUGCUUAACACAUGCAAGUCGAACGAUGAUGCUGGUGCUUGCACUGGUGGAUUAGUGGCGAACGGGUGAGUAACACGUGAGUAACCUGCCCCUGACUUCGGGAUAAGCCCGGGAAACUGGGUUUAAUACCGGAUAUGACUUCCUGGUGCAUGGCAGGGGGUGGAAAGAUUUAUCGGUUGGGGAUGGACUCGCGGCCUAUCAGCUUGUUGGUGAGGUAAUGGCUCACCAAGGCGACGACGGGUAGCCGGCCUGAGAGGGUGACCGGCCACACUGGGACUGAGACCCGGCCCAGACUCCUACGGGAGGCAGCCGUGGGGAAUAUUGCACAAUGGGCGAAAGCCUGAUGCAGCGACGCCGCGUGAGGGAUGACGGCCUUCGGGUUGUAAACCUCUUUCAGUAGGGAAGAAGCCCCUUUUUGGGGUGACGGUACUUGCAGAAGAAGCGCCGGCUAACUACGUGCCAGCAGCCGCGGUAAUACGUAGGGCGCAAGCGUUAUCCGGAAUUAUUGGGCGUAAAGAGCUCGUAGGCGGUUUGUCGCGUCUGCCGUGAAAGUCCGAGGCUCAACCUCGGAUCUGCGGUGGGUACGGGCAGACUAGAGUGAUGUAGGGGAGACUGGAAUUCCUGGUGUAGCGGUGAAAUGCGCAGAUAUCAGGAGGAACACCGAUGGCGAAGGCAGGUCUCUGGGCAUUUACUGACGCUGAGGAGCGAAAGCAUGGGGAGCGAACAGGAUUAGAUACCCUGGUAGUCCAUGCCGUAAACGUUGGGCACUAGGUGUGGGGGACAUUCCACGUUUUCCGCGCCGUAGCUAACGCAUUAAGUGCCCCC
rnacentral:rRNA from 1 species